UACGAAGGGGGCUAGCGUUGUUCGGAAUUACUGGGCGUAAAGGGCGCGUAGGCGGCCAGGUACGUUAGAUGUGAAAGUCCUGAGCUUAACUUGGGGAUUGCAUUUAAUACGGCUUGGCUAGAGAGCGAGAGGGGAUAGUGGAAUUGUGCGUGUAGAGGUGAAAUUCGUAGAUAUGCACAAGAACACCGAUGGCGAAGGCAGCUAUCUGGCUCGCUACUGACGCUAAGGCGCGAAAGCGUGGGGAGCAAACAGG
rnacentral:rRNA from 1 species